rnacentral:rRNA from 1 species
GAUGAACGCUGGCUACAGGCUUAACACAUGCAAGUCGAGGGACCGACGCACGGGUGAGUAACACGUAUCCAACCUGCCCUUUACUCUGGGAUAGCCUUUCGAAAGCAAAAUUAAUACCCUAUAUAAAGGCUGUGGAUGCGUUCCAUUAGGUUGUUGGUGAGGUACCGGCUAACCAAGCCGUCGAUGGAUAGGGGUUCUGAGAGGAAGGUCCCCCACAUCGGAAAUGAGACACGGUCCAAACGCGUACGGGAGGCAGCAGGGAGGAAUAUUGGUGAAUGGGCGCUAGCCUGAACCAGCCAAGUAGCGUGAAGGAGGAAGGCGUAGUGGUCGUAAACUUCUUUUAUAUAAGAAUAUGUAUUAUAUGAAUAAGGAUCGGCUAACUCCGUGCCAGCAGCCGCGGUAAUUC